UGAGGAAUAUUGGUCAAUGGGCGCAAGCCUGAACCAGCCAUCCCGCGUGCAGGAAGACGGCGCUAUGCGUUGUAAACUGCUUUUCCAGGGAGAGAAACUUGCGCACGUGUUGCGCAAUUGACGGUACCCUGGGAAUAAGCAUCGGCUAACUCCGUGCCAGCAGCCGCGGUAAUACGGAGGAUGCGAGCGUUAUCCGGAUUCAUUGGGUUUAAAGGGUGCGUAGGCGGACUAUUAAGUCAGUGGUGAGAUCCUGCAGCUUAACUGCAGAACUGCCAUUGAUACUGAUAGCCUUGAGUUUGGUUAAGGUAGGCGGAAUGUGUAAUGUAGCGGUGAAAUGCUUAGAUAUUGCACAGAACACCAAUUGCGUAGGCAGCUUACUGAGCCGACACUGACGCUGAGGCACGAAAGCGUGGGGAUCGA
rnacentral:rRNA from 1 species